AUCUUGUGCGUUGUAAACCCAUAAUCAAAUUGUGGAAAAUUCGAUUGAAGGAAAAGGAUAAACACGAAAAGUUAAUCAGUCCACAAUAAACAAGAGGAAAAUUGAUCUAAUUCUCAACAAAGCCCUUCUAUCAGUACCUGGAUAAAGUCUGCUGAUCGCAAAUAUUGAUUAAUAUACGAUAGAGGAAAUCAAUUCGCAAGAAAUGAAGUUUAAAGAUUUCAUCAACUGACAUAAGAAGCAGAACUUUCUCGAUUCCAUGAAGAGGGGAACUUUGGAAAAAAAUGAUGCUAAAUGUUGUGGACACUUACAUAAAAUUGCCCAACUCCACCGGACACAUUGGCUUUUUUUUUCAACAAAACGGGGUAUAAAAGCCAUCCCAUUUUUAAAAAUUGUUUUAUGUAAUUAAAAGUUAUGAUUGAUGUAUCUAGUUUAAAUGACUAUAUUUUUUUUAACAAAAUGUCUUCUAAAUGUAAAUUAAAAUUUUAGUAUACCUGUCUAUGUAAUUAUUAUAAAUAUUGUAUAAAAUGUACUAUCAAUUUAAGUGAAAUAAAAAAAAAGAUUUUUUAUGAAAAUCCAAUUUUUAAAUAUUUUAGUAAAAA